rnacentral:misc_RNA from 1 species
AACGCACGAGACCUGCGGACCUGCGGAAGGAUCAUUAGAGAAAUCUCGACGGCUGUGCGCCUUUGGGCCGCACGUCGUUCAAUUUCCACACAUGUGCACCUUCGAUGGGAGCGGGGAGACCUGCCUUCCGUCGCCUUUGUUAAACCAAUUCAGUCUCGAAUGUAAAAACCCCAUAUAAAAAUACAACUUUUAACAACGGAUCUCU